UACGGGGGGGGCAAGCGUUGUUCGGAAUUACUGGGCGUAAAGGGCGCGUAGGCGGCCUGUUAAGUCACACGUGAAAUCCCUCGGCUCAACCGGGGAACUGCGUGUGAUACUGGCGGGCUUGAAUUCGGGAGAGGGAUGUGGAAUUCCGGGUGGAGCGGUGAAAUGCGUAGAGAUCCGGAGGAACACCGACGGCGUAGGCAGCGCCCUGGACGACACCUGACGCUGAGGCACGAAAGCUGGGGGAGCAAACGGG
rnacentral:rRNA from 1 species